UAGGGAAUCUUCCGCAAUGGACGCAAGUCUGACGGAGCAACGCCGCGUGAGUGAAGAAGGAUUUCGGUUCGUAAAACUCUGUUGUUAGAGAAGAACAGCGCAUAGAGUAACUGCUAUGCGUGUGACGGUAUCUAACCAGAAAGCCACGGCUAACUACGUGCCAGCAGCCGCGGUAAUACGUAGGUGGCAAGCGUUGUCCGGAUUUAUUGGGCGUAAAGCGAGCGCAGGCGGUCAAUUAAGUCUGAUGUGAAAGCCCCCGGCUCAACCGGGGAGGGUCAUUGGAAACUGGUUGACUUGAGUGCAGAAGAGGAGAGUGGAAUUCCAUGUGUAGCGGUGAAAUGCGUAGAUAUAUGGAGGAACACCAGUGGCGAAGGCGACUCUCUGGUCUGUAACUAACACUGAGGCUCGAAAGCGUGGGUAGCAAACAGG
rnacentral:rRNA from 1 species